rnacentral:rRNA from 1 species
GACGAACGCUGGCGGCGUGCCUAAUACAUGCAAGUCGAACGCAGUGGGGACGGGUGAGUAACACGUGGGUAACCUCCCAUCAGAGGGGAUAACACUUGGAAACAGGUGCUAAACCGAUACUGAUGGAUGGACCCGCGGUGCAUUAGCUAGUUGGUGAGGUAACGGCUCACCAAGGCCACGAUGCAUAGCCGGACGUGGAAGGUGAACGGGCAACCUGGGACUGGAGCAAGGGCCAGGCUCCUACGGGAGGCCGCAGUGGGGAAUCUUCGGACAUGGACGGAAGUCUGACCGAGCAACGGCGCGUGGGUGGAGAAAGUUUUCGGAUUGUAAAGCUCUGUUGUUAGGGGAGCGGUAACUAACCAGAAAGGGACGGCUAACUACGUGCCAGCAGCCGCGGUAAUAC